CGUAGGGACCAAGCGUUGUUCGGAUUUACUGGGCGUAAAGGGCGCGUAGGCGGCGUGGUAAGUCACUUGUGAAAUCUCUGAGCUUAACUCAGAACGGCCAAGUGAUACUGCUGUGCUAGAGUGCAGAAGGGGCAAUCGGAAUUCUUGGUGUAGCGGUGAAAUGCGUAGAUAUCAAGAGGAACACCUGAGGUGAAGACGGGUUGCUGGGCUGACACUGACGCUGAUGCGCGAAAGCCAGGGGAGCAAACGGGAUUAGAUACCCCGGUAGUCCUGGCCCUAAACGAUGAAUACUUGGUGUCUGGAGUCUUUAAUGCUCCGGGUGCCGUCGCUAACGUUUUAAGUAUUCCGCCUGGGGAGUACGCUCGCAAGAGUG
rnacentral:rRNA from 1 species